AUAAGAUUAAGUUAGGUUAGACUGAAUGUUUUCAAAACAUUAAGUGACUUUAUGUUAGGUCAUCUUAUG
rnacentral:tRNA from 1 species